AAUAUAGAGAGCCAAUCGGGUCAAACGAGGCUUAAAUAAUAUUUCCUAAUUCUACUCAGUUCUGUGGCAGGUGAUCUACUAUGAGUCCCGUCAACUGCCCCCCCUGAAGAAUUUCGAGAACAACGGACACCACAUCCGGAGACCGAAACCUAAUUUGCCACUCGGCUUCCACCGACAGCGUUCCGCAUUCGACUCUAGGGCAUCCUCUCGUGGCGCCCUCUGUCAGCAAGGGGGCAUUUGGACUCCUCUGCGGCCGGCAGCUACGGUCCCUCGUGACCGGCUGACCGCAAGCUAGUCGGGAAGGAACGACGGGAUCGGCGUAGGAAGACCUCCGAAAUCCCCAUAUUUGACAUCCAGAUCCAGGGUUCCGUUGUGGUCAUGCUUGAAACCAUUCAUGAAUGAAGAUAAGGUUACUCACUAACUCUCAUCUCUGUCCUGCUUCUUCCCACCCGCUUUCCACCUUCACGGCCCUGCCAGCACAAGAGGCCUCCUCAUACCGACCUUCCCGUUAAUAAUUGAUUGUUCUUUGGCCGCCUGAUUCCUGCUCUCCAGGACGGCGAUCUUGUUCUAUUUGUUAGGUGCUCGGCAAGAGCCACCAUCAGUGGACUCUUUGAAGUACACUGCUGCUGAUGUUCGAAUUUGACUUUCGAUUGGCCCUGGUGGAUCAUUUUGGAGGGAAAUUACAUUUGGGUUGUAUGCAAAUCCACGAGAAGCUCAUGGAACUUCAGAAUGACGGAUAAAAAGUGGUUCAGGAGGCUGAGGAUCUUUUCUAAAUUUGAUCCUCAUAAAAGAAUGAAGUGCUUGAAUCCUGGGAUGGAUAUUAAAGAUGAAAUGGUUAAUGUAGAUUAUUCAGUGAGUGAAAGCUCUUCACGAAUCGAAGAUGGUGAGAUUAGAUCGGAAACUAGCAACAUUGAAGAGGCCGAGUCUUCCCUUCGUGAAGGUGGUUGCCUUAACU